rnacentral:lncRNA from 1 species
UUCCAUUGAUAUUAACGAUAUACGAACUAUUCAAACCUCCUUAAUAUCAAUCAUUUGUUUUGGUGGAUUGCGGUUUACACCUUAUCAACACCCAGGUUCCACUGAUAUUAAGGUUGUCCGAACGGAUCAACCAUGAAUCACGAGUUUGUUGUGAGUCACGAGCAUGGAGUCUCGGUUAAGAACCACCCAAAGGGAGUGUACUAUGGUUUAAACCUGCCGAACAUGUUCUACCAGAGGUUCCCAUAGUCAUCGUCCCAUCUUUC